rnacentral:rRNA from 1 species
UACGUAGGGACCGAGCGUUGUCCGGAAUCAUUGGGCGUAAAGAGCGUGUAGGCGGCCAAUUAAGUCCUGCGUGAAAUCUCGGGGCUCAACCCCGAGCGGUCGUGGGAAACUGGUUGGCUAGAGUGCGGGAGAGGAGAGUGGAAUUCCUGGUGUAGCGGUGAAAUGCGCAGAUAUCAGGAAGAACACCAAUGGCGAAAGCAGCUCUCUGGGACGGUACUGACGCUGAGACGCGAAAGCGUGGGGAGCGAACAGG